rnacentral:rRNA from 1 species
UACGUAGGGUGCGAGCGUUGUCCGGAAUUAUUGGGCGUAAAGAGCUUGUAGGUGGCUCGUUGCGUCGGGAGUGAAAACCUGCGGCUUAACCGCAGGCCUGCUUCCGAUACGGGCGAGCUAGAGUUCGGCAGGGGAGACUGGAAUUCCUGGUGUAGCGGUGGAAUGCGCAGAUAUCAGGAGGAACACCGGUGGCGAAGGCGGCACUCUGGGCCGUGACUGACGCUGAGACGCGAAAGCGCGGGGAGCAAACAGG